UACGUAGGGCGCAAGCGUUAUCCGGAAUUAUUGGGCGUAAAGAGCUCGUAGGCGGUUUGUCGCGUCUGCCGUGAAAGUCCGGGGCUCAACUCCGGAUCUGCGGUGGGUACGGGCAGACUAGAGUGCAGUAGGGGAGACUGGAAUUCCUGGUGUAGCGGUGAAAUGCGCAGAUAUCAGGAGGAACACCGAUGGCGAAGGCAGGUCGCUGGGACGGUACUGACGCUGAGACGCGAAAGCGUGGGGAGCAAACAGG
rnacentral:rRNA from 1 species